rnacentral:rRNA from 1 species
AAGUAAAAGUCGUAACAAGGUUUCCGUAGGUGAACCUGCGGAAGGAUCAUUACAGAGUUCAUGCCCGAAAGGGUAGACCUCCCACCCUUGUGUAUUAUUACUUUGUUGCUUUGGCGAGCUGCUCUUCGGGGCCUUGUAUGCUCGCCAGAGAAUAUCAAAACUCUUUUUAUUAAUGUCGUCUGAGUACUAUAUAAUAGUUAAAACUUUCAACAACGGAUCUCUUGGUUCUGGCAUCGAUGAAGAACGCAGCGAAAUGCGAUAAGUAAUGUGAAUUGCAGAAUUCAGUGAAUCAUCGAAUCUUUGAACGCACAUUGCGCCCCUUGGUAUUCCGGGGGGCAUGCCUGUUCGAGCGUCAUUUCAACCCUCAAGCUCAGCUUGGUAUUGAGUCUAUGUCAGCAAUGGCAGGCUCUAAAAUCAGUGGCGGCGCCGCUGGGUCCUGAACGUAGUAAUAUCUCUCGUUACAGGUUCUCGGUGUGCUUCUGCCAAAACCCAAACUUUCUAUGGUUGACCUCGGAUCAGGUAGGGAUACCCGCUGAACUUAAGCAUACU